rnacentral:rRNA from 1 species
UAGGGAAUCUUCCACAAUGGGCGCAAGCCUGAUGGAGCAACACCGCGUGAGUGAAGAAGGGUUUCGGCUCGUAAAGCUCUGUUGUUAAAGAAGAACACGUAUGAGAGUAACUGUUCAUACGUUGACGGUAUUUAACCAGAAAGUCACGGCUAACUACGUGCCAGCAGCCGCGGUAAUACGUAGGUGGCAAGCGUUAUCCGGAUUUAUUGGGCGUAAAGAGAGUGCAGGCGGUUUUCUAAGUCUGAUGUGAAAGCCUUCGGCUUAACCGGAGAAGUGCAUCGGAAACUGGAUAACUUGAGUGCAGAAGAGGGUAGUGGAACUCCAUGUGUAGCGGUGGAAUGCGUAGAUAUAUGGAAGAACACCAGUGGCGAAGGCGGCUACCUGGUCUGCAACUGACGCUGAGACUCGAAAGCAUGGGUAGCGAACAGGAUUAGAUACCCUGGUAGUCCAUGCCGUAAACGGUGAGUGCUAGGUGUUGGAGGGUUUCCGCCCUUCAGUGCCGGAGCUAACGCAUUAAGCACUCCGCCUGGGGAGUACGACCGCAAGGUUG